UACGAAGGGUGCGAGCGUUGUCCGGAAUCAUUGGGCGUAAAGGGCGCGUAGGUGGCCCGGUCAGUUCGUGGUGAAAGCGCGGGGCUCAACCCUGCGUCGGCCAUGAAUACUGCCGCGGCUGGAGCACUGUAGAGGCAGGCGGAAUUCCGGGUGUAGCGGUGGAAUGCGUAGAGAUCCGGAAGAACACCGGUGGCGAAGGCGGCCUGCUGGGCAGUUGCUGACACUGAGGCGCGACAGCGUGGGGAGCAAACAGG
rnacentral:rRNA from 1 species